CCUACGGGCGGCAGCAGUGAGGAAUAUUGGUCAAUGGACGAGAGUCUGAACCAGCCAAGUAGCGUGAAGGAUGACUGCCCUAUGGGUUGUAAACUUCUUUUAUAUGGGAAUAAAAUGUUCCACGUGUGGGAUUUUGUAUGUACCAUAUGAAUAAGGAUCGGCUAACUCCGUGCCAGCAGCCGCGGUAAUACGGAGGAUCCGAGCGUUAUCCGGAUUUAUUGGGUUUAAAGGGAGCGUAGGUGGAUUGUUAAGUCAGUUGUGAAAGUUUGCGUCUCAACCGUAAAAUUGCAGUUGAAACUGGCAGUCUUGAGUACAGUAGAGGUGGGCGGAAUUCGUGGUGUAGCGGUGAAAUGCUUAGAUAUCACGAAGAACUCCGAUUGCGAAGGCAGUUCACUGGACUGCAACUGACACUGAGGCUCGAAAGUGUGGGUAUCAAACAGGAUUAGAUACCCCUGUAGUC
rnacentral:rRNA from 1 species